rnacentral:rRNA from 1 species
GGGGCUUGGGGCAGCCUAACAUGCAAGUCGAACGGUAGCACGGAGAGCUUGCUCUCGGGUGACGAGUGGCGGACGGGUGAGUAAUGUCUGGGAAACUGCCUGAUGGAGGGGGAUAACUACUGGAAACGGUAGCUAAUACCGCAUAAUGUCGCAAGACCAAAGAGGGGGACCUUCGGGCCUCUUGCCAUCAGAUGUGCCCAGAUGGGAUUAGCUAGUAGGUGGGGUAACGGCUCACCUAAGCGACGAUCCCUAGCUGGUCUGAGAGGAUGACCAGCCACACUGGAACUGAGACACGGUCCACACUCCUACGGGAGGCAGCAGUGGGGAAUAUUGCACAAUGGGCGCAAGCCUGAUGCAGCCAUGCCGCGUGUAUGAAGAAGGCCUUCGGGUUGUAAAGUA